rnacentral:rRNA from 1 species
AUUGAACGCUGGCGGCAUGCCUUACACAUGCAAGUCGAACGGUAACAGGUCUUCGGAUGCUGACGAGUGGCGAACGGGUGAGUAAUACAUCGGAACGUGCCCGAGAGUGGGGGAUAACGGAGCGAAAGCUUUGCUAAUACCGCAUUCGAUCUCAGGAUGAAAACAGGGGACCGCAAGGCCUUGCGCUCACGGAGCGGCCGAUGGCAGAUUAGGUAGUUGGUGGGAUAAAAGCUUACCAAGCCGACGAUCUGUAGCUGGUCUGAGAGGACGACCAGCCACACUGGGACUGAGACACGGCCCAGACUCCUACGGGAGGCAGCAGUGGGGAAUUUUGGACAAUGGGCGCAAGCCUGAUCCAGCCAUGCCGCGUGCAGGAUGAAGGCCUCGGGUUGUAGACUGCUUUUUGUACGGAACGAAAAAUGACCCCUUCUAAUAAAAGGGGGUCCAUGACGGUACCGUAAGAAUAAGCACCGGCUAACUACGUGCCAGCAGCCGCGGUAAUACGUAGGGUGCGAGCGUUAAUCGGAAUUACUGGGCGUAAAGCGUGCGCAGGCGGUGAUGUAAGACAGAUGUGAAAUCCCGGGCUCAACCUGGGAACUGCAUUUGUGACUGCAUCGCUGGAGUGCGGCAGAGGGGAUGGAAUUCCGCGUGUAGCAGUGAAAACGCGUAGAUAUGCGGAGGAACACCGAUGGCGAAGGCAAUCCCCUGGGCCUGCACUGACGCUCAUGCACG